rnacentral:rRNA from 1 species
UUAUGGCUCAGGACGAACGCUGGCGGCGUGCUUCAUACAUGCAAGUCGAACGAGAAGUUACCUUCGGGUAAUGGAAAGUGGCGGACGGGUGAGUAAUGUGUAGAGAAUCUGCCCUAGAGUGGGGGACAACAGUUGGAAACGACUGCUAAUACCGCAUAUGCGCGUAGCUGAGAUGCUAUUUGUGAAAACUAAGGUGCUCUGGGAUGAGUCUGCAUCUGAUUAGCUAGUUGGCGGUGUAAUGGACCACCAAGGCGACGAUCAGUAGCUGGUUUGAGAGGAUGAUCAGCCACAAUGGGACUGAGACACGGCCCAUACUCCUACGGGAGGCAGCAGUAGGGAAUUUUGCGCAAUGGGGGAAACCCUGAACCGCAGCAACGCCGCGUGAUUGAAUAAGCCCUUCGGGGUGUAAAGAUCUGUCAGUGGGGACGAAACUUGACGGUACCCACAGAGGAAGCAUCGGCUAACUCCGUGCCAGCCGCCGC